UACCUUCUCAGGGUCGCACCUGGAGAGUUGCCAGUAUUCUACCAGUCUCAGCCACGGAAGGGAGAGUCAAGCAGAGGCGUACCCAUUCCAUUUCUAACUUGGGCACGGUUAGCAAAUGGAAGGCAAUCUGCUAAAAGU
rfam:Ornithorhynchus anatinus chromosome 3, whole genome shotgun sequence.